UACGGAGGGUGCAAGCGUUAUCCGGAUUCACUGGGUUUAAAGGGCGCGUAGGUGGGCAGGUAAGUCAGUGGUGAAAUCUCCGAGCUUAACUCGGAAACCGCCGUUGAUACUAUUUGUCUUGAAUAUUGUGGAGGUAAGCGGAAUAUGUCAUGUAGCGGUGAAAUGCUUAGAUAUGACAUAGAACACCAAUUGCGAAGGCAGCUUACUACACAACUAUUGACGCUGAGGCACGAAAGCGUGGGGAUCAAACAGG
rnacentral:rRNA from 1 species